rnacentral:rRNA from 1 species
CGGUGAAUACGUUCCCGGACCUUGUACACACCGCCCGUCAAGCCAUGGAAGCUGGGUGUACCUAAAGUCGGUAACCGCAAGGAGCCGCCUAGGGUAAAACUGGUGACUGGGGCU